GAUGAACGCUAGCGGCAGGCUUAAUACAUGCAAGUCGGGGGGCAGCAUGAAUGUAGCAAUACAUUUGAUGGCGACCGGCAAACGGGUGCGGAACACGUACACAACCUUCCUAUAAGUGGGGAAUAGCCCAGAGAAAUUUGGAUUAAUACCCCGUAACAUAAUGAUGUGGCAUCACAUUAUUAUUAUAGCUACGGCGCUUAUUGAUGGGUGUGCGGCUGAUUAGAUAGUUGGCGGGGUAACGGCCCACCAAGUCUACGAUCAGUAGCUGAUGUGAGAGCAUGAUCAGCCACACGGGCACUGAGAAACGGGCCCGACUCCUACGGGAGGCAGCAGUAAGGAAUAUUGGUCAAUGGACGCGAGUCUGAACCAGCCAUGCCGCGUGAAGGAUUAAGGUCCUCUGGAUUGUAAACUUCUUUUAUCUGGGACGAAAAAAGGCUAUUCUUAGUCACCUGACGGUACCAGAUGAAUAAGCACCGGCUAACUCCGUGCCAGCCGCCGCUGUAAGAC
rnacentral:rRNA from 1 species